AUUGAACGCUGGCGGCAUGCCUUACACAUGCAAGUCGAACGGUAACGCGGGGCAACCUGGCGACGAGUGGCGAACGGGUGAGUAAUGCAUCGGAACGUGCCCAGUAGUGGGGGAUAGCCCGGCGAAAGCCGGAUUAAUACCGCAUACGACCUACGGGUGAAAGGGGGGGAUCGCAAGACCUCUCGCUAUUGGAGCGGCCGAUGUCAGAUUAGGUAGUUGGUGGGGUAAAAGCCUACCAAGCCGACGAUCUGUAGCUGGUCUGAGAGGACGACCAGCCACACUGGGACUGAGACACGGCCCAGACUCCUACGGGAGGCAGCAGUGGGGAAUUUUGGACAAUGGGGGCAACCCUGAUCCAGCCAUGCCGCGUGCGGGAAGAAGGCCUUCGGGUUGUAAACCGCUUUUGUCAGGGAAGAAACGCUCUGGGCUAAUACCCUGGGGUAAUGACGGUACCUGAAGAAUAAGCACCGGCUAACUACGUGCCAGCCGCCGCCGUAAAAC
rnacentral:rRNA from 1 species